rnacentral:rRNA from 1 species
GUCGAACGCUGGCGGCAUGCCUAAUACAUGCAAGUAGAACGCAGUUGCGAACGGGUGUGUAAAGCGUAGGUAACCGCCUCAUAGCGGGGGAUAAAUAUUUGAAACGAUAGCUAAUAACGCAUUCUGUGAGAUGGACCUGCGUUGUAUUAGCUAGUUGGAGAGGUAAAGGCCCACCAAGGCGACGAUACAUACCCGACCUGGGAGGGAGAUCGGGCAAACUGGGACUGGGACACGGGCCAGAACCCUAAGGGAGGCAGCAGUUGGGAAUGUUCGGAAAUGGACGGAAGUCUGGCCGAAGAACGGCGGGUGAGUGAAGAAGGUUUUCGGGUUGUAAAGCUAUGUUGUUAGAGAAGCGUUAACUGACCAGAAAGGGACGGCUAACUACGUGCCAGCAGCCGCGGUAAUUC